rnacentral:lncRNA from 1 species
AAGAAGUAGACAAGGAAAUGGACACCUCCAACUGGUGAUAUGGUGAACAAAUUCAAGAAAACUGAUUAGACAAGGUCAAGUGAGAGAAUUACAAGGAUGGAAAUCUGAACCUAUAUUGAGCAGAUAUAGUUUAAUCAGGAUGGAAUGACUCGAAAAAGGGCAAAAAUGAGUAGGUACAAACGUAACCAUAAACAUCAAGCCUUGUCUUACUACCAUUACUGAUCCCGAGCCCUCAUGAAAAUGUUGGCGUCCGACCGCACCGGAACCCACUCACACCGGCACUGCCCACCAACGUCGGAAAACAAAGAGAGAAUAACUCUCUCGCUCCCUCGACACCGGACUCAAGGAUCACCGCUUAGCUUAUCCCUACGAAGGGCAAAAGAUUACCCCGUGGUGUCAAUAGGGUAAAACACUUGAGCACCGCAGCGGAUUAUCAAACCAAAGGAAGAAGAAAUAGGAAGAAGAUAGCAAAGCAAACACAAAGAUGUAACGAGGUUCGGCUACAAAUAGCCUACGUCCUCCACCGCUCCAAAUCUCAACUAGGAUGAAUAGACUACAGAGAUGGCACACACCCGAACGAUCACACGAGAUCACUCUACAAGAGAUUCACACAGAAUUCCCUUUGCACAAGAAGUAGGAUCCCAAUCCUCUUCUUCUCUAGAACCCUAGCCUCACAAACAAGAGUCUCUCUCAAAUAUACGGCCAAUCGCUAUACCCUAGGGCUCUCAUGAGUCCUAUAUAUAGUCUCAAGACCUUCAGAUG